UCAGGUGUUUAAAAAAUGUUCCUUGAUUAUCAGAUUGCUAAAAAUACAGUUGUCAAAGAACUAAAACAAUUGCAUUUAUAAAUUCUUUGUCAUCUGGAACAUAGAAUGAUAUAGUAGAACACUUAAAAAUAUAUUUCUUAUGCAACUGAUGGUAGCACAGAUAUUAAAAAUGUGAAACUAUAUCCAAUUGUUGUUACUUAAUUUGAUAUCAAAUAGUGAAAGAUAUGCACCACAAUACUAUCCUUGCUGGAAUGAUGUUUAAAUACUAGUGAACGAAUUUGUAAUCUCUUGAAUGGCGAACUGCUAAGAAAAGUAAUUCCCUGGAAAAACUGCAUUUGAUUUGCAUGUCAUAAUGCAAGUAAAAUGGCUGGACAUAUAAAAAGAGUUGCUGCCUUUUUUAAGAAAAUUGAACCACACAUACGAAUUCGAUCAUUUUAUACCACCUGCUUCAUUUAGCUGCACAAAAAGGUGCAGCCAGCCUGUCACCUAGUGGUAAAACUGGUGAAGCUACAGUUUCAGCAGACGGUUUAUCCAUUGGACAGAAAUAGACACAGUUCUAUUUUGCCAUGUAAUGGCACAUGCGCAAUAGAAGGAGUGCCCACUUCCAUUGGGCUUUCCGCUUGUUAUUGUUUCCUCUAGGAGACAAAAUACAUGAAAUGGAAUGGAAUAGAGAAAGUCUCAAAGUGCUCAUAGAGAAAUACAGGAACGAAAGGUGUCUGUAUGACCCUGCAGAUAUUUUCUUUCCAUUAUAAGUUUUAGAUUUCACCAUCAGCAUCAUUAACAAAAAACAUCGCUGGUUACACUGACAAUUUUGAGAAUGUCAAGGAGAAAAUUAUUGUGGAACUGACUGCCAUGGAAGGCAGCAUUGAUGAUAUAUUUACAGUGGGAUGUGUAGAUGAUGAUAGUUACCUCUCUACCCAUUGGUGCUCAACAGAAAUAUCUAAACUGGGGCACUAUGCCAAUUCAAAGAAGCAGAAGAGAGAGAAUUAAGAUGUCCUGGCAAAUAGUACAUUGUCAGUGCUGCAGGACAUCCAAGAUGCAUUGAGUAGCAGCAAUGAAGAUGAUAAGUUGGGCCAGUAUGUGUAGCUGAGUUGAAGGAAAUUAACAAUAGAAACAUACAAGCAGAAACGAAGUGAAUCGUCAUGAAGGCCGUCAUAGGUGCUAUUCAAAAAGAUAGUGAGCAAUAAUUUUGAAAUAAAGAUUGAAAAUUAAAAAUUAUACUUCCUUAUAGUUUCCUACUGCCAAGGUACAUAAUCUAGAGAGUUAAAAUAUUCACAGAAUUUCUCGUGUACUUCUCUGGCAUAUAACAAUGUUAUGUUUCUUCCCUUGUUGUCACCUUGUCACCUUGUUAAGAACCAUUCCCUUUAGUGCACAAAGUUGUGUCUUCAGCAUCAGAUCUUGCCAAAUAAUUUCUAUCUGCUUUAUCAAUUAAAUAACUGUGAAGUAUGUGCAAAAUGUGGAUGACCGGUUCCUCCUUUUCCAUAGGAAGGAAUAUGGUACUAAGGAGAAUCCUGAAGCAAUUGGCCAGAAUAUCAAACGUAUUUACAAAUACAUGCCUCCUCUUGAAA